rnacentral:rRNA from 1 species
UACAGAGGGUGCGAGCGUUAAUCGGAAUUACUGGGCGUAAAGGGCGCGUAGGUGGUUAAUUAAGUCAGAUGUGAAAUCCCUGGGCUCAACCUAGGAAUUGCAUUUGAAACUGGUUAUCUAGAGUUUGGUAGAGGGAAGUGGAAUUUCCGGUGUAGCGGUGAAAUGCGUAGAUAUCGGAAGGAACAUCAGUGGCGAAGGCGACUUCCUGGCCCAAUACUGACGCUGAGGUGCGAAAGCGUGGGGAGCAAACAGG